AUCUCCAGUGUGUUACAGGAUUGUGUGGGUGUGUGUGUGUUGCUGCUCAUCUCCAGUGUGUUUGACAGGAGUGUCAUGAGAAGAUCCGUGUCCUGUCCCAGCUGGCUGCCGCUGUGGUCAAACAGGAGGGCGGGGACAAUGACCUCAUCGCCCGAAUUGAGGCUGACCCCUACUUCGCUCCCAUCCUUGGACAACUCGACACCCUCCUGGACCCCAAAACCUUCACUGGACGAGCACCCCAACAGGUUAAGAAGUUCCUGUCGGUGGAAGUGCGCCCCCUGCUGUUGCCGUUUGAGAGUAAGAUGAAUGUGAAGAUGGAGCUGGAAAUCUGAAGGCGCCAGAGUUUCUCUUGAUAAUAAACCCUUGCUAGAUGACCA